rnacentral:lncRNA from 1 species
UUGAUAAGUAGUAAAAAGUUCAUUUUCAUGUAAAUGGGUUGUUUACAAAACAGUGCAAAGUACACGAGUGAUGUAUUUGUAUACGAGUAUAGGGUGUUUGAGGAGAUUUGAUGAGGUUGGAGUGGGUAUUUGGAGGGUGUUAGGAGGUGGAAUAAGGUUGUAAUUUUGGUGGUGUAAGGCAACAAAGAUGGUGAAGUUGAAGGAGCUUUGGGUGGUGAUGGAUGUAGAUUUUCGGAGUAAAUCUCUCUGGAUAGCCAAUUCUCUCUCGCGUCUCUUUGGGGUUUCCCGUGGUCAAAAUCGUCCACGAAAAUUUCUAGAUGUAGGUAAUUUCCUGAAAAAUUGAUGGUGGAAAUCUCCCUAGUCUUUUUGUGCUUGUAACAAGCCCAGUUUUCUUCGUUUUUGACUUGAAGAUUCUGAUGUCGAAAAACAGCAAGGUGGUGAUGGUUGUGGUGAUUUGAAAGGGUUUUUUUGGAGGAGGUUUAAGGAGGGUAUUUGGAGGGUGUUUGGAGAUUAUUUUGAGGUUGGAAGGAGGUUAAUAUAAGAGAGGUUUUUGGUGGUAAAUGGUGUGAUGAACAAAGAUAAUGAAGAUGAAAAACCUUUAGUUUCAAUGAAGAAGAUGAAGAUGGUUGAUGGUGUUCUUCAUUUCAUUGUUGAUGAUCUUGGUGUUCUUCACUUAGCUUCUUGUUUGAUCUUGGUGUUCUUCAUUUAGCUCCAGGGAUUUGUCUUUGUUCUUGAAGAAGAUGAAGAUUGGUGAUGUUCUUGGGAGUGUUUGUAGUUUGUAGGAAGUGUUACAAUAUUACAAAUGAACACACACACUUACAUACACAAACUCAUGUAUACAUAUAUGCAUGAAACAAAUAUCUUCUAGUGCACUUGAGUAUAUGGAGAGUUGGCUGCAAGUUGAUGUAGAGUAGGAGGCAAAAACGUGGGGUAUUCAUUUGCAACUUCAUUUCCUUGACUUAUUGACACUUCUUUGUUGACUUUUCCAAUUGUUUGACUUUUCCAUACACAACAUAUAUAUAAUACAUAUAUACAUAUAUAAUACAUAAAUAUACAUAUAAUACAUAUAUAUACGUGUGUAUAUAUAUAUAUAUAUAUAUAUAUAUAUAUAUAUUGUUGAAACUGUUUAGUCACACAACUAAUUUUCUCGUCUAUGCGUUUUCGGUCAUUCGCGUGUUUUCGUAUUUUCCGUUUGAUCACGCAUUCAUGCAACCUGAAAUAACUGAUAAUAUUUGUUAGAUUGUAUAAAAUCAGUGCAUUUUGUUUCAGUGAUGGUCACAUAUAAAAACGUUUUCAACAAUUUCCCCCUAUGUGAUCAUUGCUGAAAUAAAGACAGAUAUGAUAUAAUCAUGUUGACAGUUUUGAACUUUUGAAGAUUCGAGAUAAAAGAUUUGUCAAUAGAUAAGAUAUAUAAAACAUAGUGAUUAUUUUGAAAGUUUGUGACUUUGUUUAACAUAUCUUAUGUAAAAGAUUUUUAGAAAUUUGUUUCCGAAUCAAAGUCUCGGGUUCGGUUAUCAAAGGGUAGCCAUAUAUGUAUCUAAAGAAAUUUCCUAAGAUUUUAUAGCAUUAUUAAUGACGACAAGUGGUCUAACAGGUCGAUUCAGAUGAACGCUCAUAGGUAUAGCUCACACUUCACUUGAGUGUCUGGUUUUCCUGGCAGCAGAACAGGUUAAUGAUCACUAAAAAUGAGUGAUAUCUCUCUCUGGCGACUCACACUCAUAUUAGAGGUGUUCAGCUAUGCUUUUCCUGAAAUUCACUUAGUCUCAUUAUUAGAUAAUCAAUCACAUAAGACUGGUUUCGACAUUACUCAGUGGGUUUCUUCAUUCAUGCCAUUAACUUUCACUCUCUCUCCAUCGGGAAAUACAUGUAGAGGGGUUUAGCAAUUUUCAUAGUGCAGUUUGCAACUAAGAACUUUCAGUGUGAAGGCUACNAUCCCGGGAAAUCCAUUGUUGCAGCUUCUUCCUUGAUGGUAUCCUUUUUGUUGAUCAAUAUCGAUUUUUGUAAAAAGAUAUUUUGUUUUAGCAUCGAGAAUUUGCUACAUUUUGAAAAAAAAAUGGAUUUUUGAGAGUAUCUAUGUUGCGGGAUUAAGAUAUCCCUUUUUGUGAAAAUUGGUUAAAAACAGAUCAAUGGAUCUUUUGAUGAUUGCAUUGAAAUAACCAUUUGGUUGAAACUUUGUUUGAAAAUACCAAAUGUAGAGUUUUUUUGUUUUGUUGGGUAUUUCUUCGGUGAAUGAUUUGGCUUUCUUGUUGAUUCGUCUUUAUCUUAUUUCGCCUUUGAUGAUUAGAUUUGGAUAGAUCUUUGGUUUUAUUUGAUAAGUGAUUGUUGAAAUCCUUUUCGUUUCGUCUUUUCUUGUUGAUGGAUCACGGGAUCUCAAUAGUUCAUUUUUGGUUGGCUUAUAUCUAGGUGGGGAUUGGUGGCAUAAAAGACAUUUUGUCUAUUAUGUAAGAAAUGAAUGUAUCGUCCCUGGUCACUUUGAUAUCUAAGAAAAAAUGAGACCGUGACAAGAUAUAAUCGGAUAUACCUUAUAAGCAAUAGUGACACACCUAAGCUCACAAGAAAUGAAUUCCACAGUGAUAUAGAUUGACGAGGCACAAAUUCUCACAUGGGUUUUUGUUUUCAUCUGAACCUCCUAACCUUAUGUCCCUUCAUUGUUUAAAAUCAUCAAUAAUGAAAUAAAAUAGAAGGAAAUAAAGUUAUAUACAUUAUGAAAAGUAGGAGAUUUGAACCUUCACUCCAAUUGAGAAUCAAUAUGACUUAAAAUCUUCAUCGAGCAUAAGCAUUUGAAAAUUAAGUCAAAAGACGAUUAAUCACAAGGUUCUAUAAAAGCUUAUCAUGGCAAGUAUUUUAUUCUAUUUUUGAAGAUUAUUUUUUUUGAAUGUUUUUGNUUUGAAGAUUUGUUUUUCUGAAUGUUUUUGGAAAUAUUGGUUAUCUGAAUUUUUUUGGUAUUUUUGAAAAAGAAAGCAAUUUUCAAAUGUUUUUGAAUUUUCUUUUUGAAUGAAAGUAAACACACUUUUGUACAAACAAAAGUUAAAAGUUUAAGGAUGGAUGUUAUCUGGAUUUAACAUUCCUAGACGGCCUAGGAAGUAUUGAAACUUUGUUUCAUCGAGAGCCUUAGUGAAGACAUCGGCAAUUUGAUCUUCGGAGUUGAUGAAGUGUAGUUCGAUAUGACCCUUUUGAAUGUUGUCUUUGAUAAAGUGAUAUCGAAUGUCGAUGUGCUUUGUCAUGGAAUGGUGAACGGGAUUGUGAGAAAUGGCAAUUGCACUGGUUGAGUCACAAAAUAUGGGAAUUUGUGAGAUUUUGAAGCCAUAGUCAUGCAGUUGAGUUUGCAUCCAUAUGACUUGUGAGCAACAGCUGGCGGCAGCGACAUAUUCAGCUUCUGCUGUUGAUGUGGAUACACAAGUCUGUUUCUUUGAAGUCCAACUCACUAGUCUACCUCCUAAGAAUUGACAGCUACCAGAUGUACUCUUUCUAUCUAGCUUGCAUCCUCCGUAGUCUGAGUCGGUGAAAGCGUUUAGCUGAAAAUCGGAUUUAGCUGGAUACCAAAGGCCGAGUUUGGGAGUGCCUUUAAGGUAUUUGAAGAUACGUUUCACAGCAACUACAUGGGAUUCCAUAGGAUUUGCUUGGUAUCUAGCACACACACAUGUAGAAAACAUGAUGUCAGGUCUGCUGGCAAUGAGGUAUAAGAGUGAUCCAAUCAUUCCACGAUAUCUUUUCUGGUCAACGGGUUUCCCAUUUAAGUCUGCAUCGAUUUUGUAUCCAAAAGCCAUUGGAGUUUUUGCGGUAUUUGAUUUGUCCAUUGAAAAGCGAGUGAGUAGGUUUUUGACAUAAUUCUCUUGGUUGAUGAAAAUGCCAUCAGUUGACUGUUUGAUUUGAAGUCCGAGAAAUGUAGUCAUCUCCCCAAUCAUGCUCAUUUCAAAUUUGCUCUUCAUUAGAUCUGCAAACUUAACACUUAAAGAUUCAUCAGUAGAACCGAAAAUAAUGUCAUCAACAUAUAUUUGUACGAUUAACAGAUGUUUAUUAAAUAUUUUACGAAAGAGGGUUUGAUCGAUUGAACCUCUUUUAAAACCUGAUUCUUCGAGAAAGGUUGACAACGUGGCAUACCAGGCUCGAGGUGCUUGUUUCAAGCCAUAGACAGCUUUCUGUAAUUUAAAGCUGUGAUCUGGAAAUUUGGGAUCUUCAAAACCUGGUGGUUGUUGGAUGUAUACUUCGCGAUCUAUCUCUCCGUGUAGGAAUGCACAUUUAACGUCCAUUUGGAAUACUUUGAAGUUCUUAUGCGCAGCAUAUGCAAGAAAGAUACGAAUUGCUUCAAUUCGAGCAACUGGGGCAUACGUUUCAUCGUAGUCGAUUUCUUCUUGUUGUGAAUAUCCUUUGACUACAAGACGUGCCUUGUUUCGACAAAUGAUUCCUUGAUCGUCAGUCUUGUUUCUGUAUACCCAUCUUGAACCUAUAACAGUAACAUCGGGUGGAGUAGGAACAAGAUUCCAUACGUCGUUUCUUUCAAAUUCUGCUAGCUCUUCUUGCAUAGCUUUUACCCAAUCUGGAUCUUUUAUAGCAGAAUGUAUGGUUUUGGGUUCGGUCGUGGAUAAGAAGGCUCCAAAUAAACAUUCAUUUGUGGAUGCGCCUCUAGUCUGAAUGCCUAUGUUGGGAUCUCCGAUGAUUUGGUCUGUUGGAUGAUUUCUGGUCCACUUUAUUAAGCGAUUCUCUUCCGCUAUAAUAAUUGGAGUUUCAGUAUCCCAUUGUUCUUCUCCGGGCGUUUCAUCUUGGAAUAGGUUUGAAGGUUCCCCCAUAAAUGAUGCAUCGGGAUUGUUUUGGCUAUUUGGGGUUCGGGUGUUUAAAGGAGGAUUUGGUGUUUGUUCCAAAGAGGAAGUAUGUGUUGGUGGUUCCCCCUCGAAUUGAUUUGCAUCAUUUUGGUUUGUUUGUGGAAUUACUUCACUGGGUGUUCCUGUAGGGUCAAUUAAAGUAGUUAGAAGUUCAGAAUUGUAAGCGGUUUUUGGUUGUUCAAAAAGCAAAUCAAGAUCGAUUUCAAUGUCUAUGUCAGGAGAAGGUGUUUGUUGAAUUGGAUUUUGAAAAAUAUUUUCAAUCAUUUUUGAACCAAAAUGUUCACGAUCCAAUUUCCUGACAUAAAAUUCAUCGAAAUGAACAUCGGUACUUUCUUCAAUUACUCUGGUACGUUUGUUCAGUACUCUAUAAGCAGCUGAAGAAAAUGAGUAACCAAGGAAAAUUCCUUCGUCCGACCUUGAUUCAAAUUUUGAAAGGUGAUCUUUAUUGUUCUUUACGAAGCAUCGACAACCAAAAAUAUGGAAAAAUUUGAUGUUUGGUUUUCGGUUGUUAAUGACUUCAUAUGGUGUUUUAUGAAGAUGUUUAUGGAUUAAGGAACGAUUUUGAGUAUAGCAAGCUGUGGCUAUUGCUUCUGCCCAGAAGUAUUGUGGCAGAUCAGCGAAGAUAAGCAUUGAUCUUGCAGCUUCACAUAGAGUUCGGUUCCUUCUUUCGACAACACCGUUCUGUUGUGGAGUGUAUGGGGCUGAGAAGUUAUGUUCAAUUCCUUUGUCUUUGAGAAAUGAAUCUAGAGUAUUGUUUUUGAACUCUAAACCAUUAUCACUUAGGAUUCUUCGAACAGGUCGUUUCAGCUUCAACUCGAUUUGUUUGAUGAAGUUGAUCAUCUCUUCAGGUGCUUCUGAUUUUAGUCUUAAGAAAAAGACCCAAGUAAAGCGCGAGAAACCAUCAACGACAACAAGAAUGUACUUCUUCCCUUGUAUGGUUUGGGUUUUGGCAGGGCCACAAAGGUCUAUGUGCAACAAUUCUAGUGGUUCGGAUACACUAGAUUCUGAGAUGCUUUUGUGAGUGGAUUUGGAAAGUUUUCCUUUUUCACAUGCGGCACAAAGAGUUUCGUUAUCAAGCUUCAGAAGUGGUAGCCCUCGAACAAGAUCAUCGCCGAUUAAUUUGUUGAUGUACCCAAAGUUUAGAUGGGAAAGGCGACGGUGCCAUAACCAACUAAUAUCUGCCGGGGCUUUAGAUAGCAGACAUAUAUGGGGUUUACUGUAGAUAAGAUCCAUGUCAAGUGGAUACAUAUUUCCGGCACGGUCAAAAUCAACUAUAACAUCUUUUGUUUUGGCGUCCAUGAUCAAGCUUCGUUGUUUGGUGAAAAGAAUUUCAAGAUUGUUAUCACAAGGUUGAGAAACACUGAUAAGGUUGUGUUUCAGGUCAUCGACGAAGGCAACUUUCUUUAUGGUAAAAUUACCAUUUGUUAUGUUUCCAUAACUUUUGAUUUUUGCUUUCAUGUUGUUUCCGAAGGUAACAUCUUGAUUGGUUUGUAUAGGUUUGAAGUCACGUAAGUAGUUCCGGUUUCCUGUCAUAUGCUUGGAGCAGCCACUAUCAAUAUACCAUGUAUCAUCAUUGGGUUCUCCAGCAUUAAGUACCUACAAUCAGACAGAAAGUUUAGGUACCCAAAUCUGAAUGGGUCCUGGUUUGUCAGUUGUUAUUUUGGGUGCUUUGCUUGAUGAAUUUCUUUUAUCAUUUGACUUCACAUUAUUGUAAUGGUUUGGUUUAUGACAAUGGAAUGGUUGAGGUUUGAUUUGAUCUAUUAAGUUUACCCAAAAUGUGAUUUGUUUUUGAAAGCCUGUGGGUUGAUAAGAUCUGUGAUUUGGUGAAAGAUAUCCUAGAUGUGAAGGUUUGUUUGAAAAGUUUUUUCUACAUAUCUGGGAUGUGAUGGGCAUUUUUGAAAAGCUUUUUGAUGAUGAUGGUUUGAAACGUUCUGAUGUGAUGGUUUUUGAAAGUUCCAUGAAUGAUUAAAAGUGAUAUCUUGAAAGCGGUUUUCAAAAGGUUUUGGAAAAGGUUUUGGUUUUUGUUUGGAAACCUGUUUAUGAGGUAUGACGUUUGGUUUCUUUGGUUGUUUUUCAAAAAGGUUUGGUUUGAUUAGUGGGGUUUUGGUGACUUGAAUGGAUUUUUUGCUUGUUUGUUGUUUCUUGGAGUAUUUUUGUCCCAGACUAGUUUUUCCAACAAUUGAUGAAGUCAUUGUAGGAAAAACAGUUGGUAUAGAAGUACAACCAUCCUUAUAAGAGGAAUUUUAUCCAUUCAAAAAGUUUUUGAGUUUAGUGGUUCCAUCGGUAUGUUUGAUUUGGUGAGUUAAAGAACUUGCAGAGUUUGUUUCAGAAUUUACAACUCUUUUGAAAGACUUUUUGGAAACACUGAAAGCAGUAUCAUCUGGACUACAGUUGAUAACUGUUUCGUCAUCUGAAUCUUCCUCAUUAAGAGAUGUGAAAAGAUCUGGUAGAGUAGAUUCAGAGUUUUCACAAUUCGUCAUGUUUUCCUGUUUUGCUUGUUCAAUUUCAAAGGAUUCUCUUCCAAUUCCUGGUCUAUAAUUCGUAUCAAUUUUGCCAGUUCCUAAGGUGUUUGCCUUUGUGAAAAUAUCAUCACUUAGUUUUCUAGCAACUUUGAUAGAAUCCAUAUUCCAUAUCAGUCUUUUAUUCUCGGUUUCAAGAGAAUUGAUUUGUUUUAAAGAAUCAGUCAGCUUUUCAUUUAAAACAUUGUAUUUGUCAGUUGAUUCUUGAAAGUCUUGUUUCAACUGAAGGAUUUCCAUUUCUAAAACAUCUUUUAUUUCAGAAGAAAUGACUGACUGAUUUUUUAGUUCCAAAUCCCUUUUCUGAAUUAGGGACUGAUUUAAUUGUUCCAAGACGUGAUUAUAAUCUUCUGAUUUUCUUUCAACGUCUCUUUCCAAUUUGCUUUUCGUUCUUGUUGAUUCUCCAAAUUUGAGUUGCAAGGUUUGUAACUCAGAUUUGCAAAUAUCAUAAUUGACCAUUGUGUCAUGAUAUGUUUUGAGAUCAGUUUCCAGACUAGUCUCAAUUUUGGUUAUGUGGGACUCAAAAAUUGUUUUGGAAAAACCAAGUUCAGAGAUCAUAGACCAUACCUGUUCUAUGACGUUUGGAGCUCUUGAAGGUAUUUCAACACCAGCUACGAAGCAGAAGUUUGAUUGUGUUGGUUCGUGUUCAGCUUCGUCAUCAGAAGUUGGCCAGUAUUCCACACUUGGUUCAUGGAUUGCCAUCAAUGCUCUUUGCUUUUCUUGGUUUUCCAGUUUCUUCAAUUCAUCGGCUCUUUGAGCAUAGUAUGCUGAGUCUUUGAUUUUGGUUUUGUUUUUGGCUCGACAUUCUCUGGCAUAGUGAUUUGUUCCUUUGCAGUUGUGACAAAUGAUCACUUCUUCAUCACUUUCAUCCUUUUGACUUUUAAUCGGAAGUCUUUCAGGUGCUUGAGUUUGGGUUUGUUGGGAAGGUUGAGAAUGGUUUUGUUGGAAUCCAAAAUUUUGGUUGUUUUGAAAACCAUUGUUUUGAUUGUUGUAACCUUGAUUUUGGAAACCUCUGUUUUGAUUUUGAAAACUGUUGUUUGGAUUGUGAUUAUGACCUGAGUUGGGAUCGUUUUGAAAUCCCUGGUUUUGAAAACCUUGGUUUGAGUUAUUUUGGAAAGAAGGUCUUUGAGAAUUUUGUCCAAAGUAAGGUCUUGGUUGAAAACCUGAGUUAUUUUGUCCAAAAGACGGUCUUGGUUGAAAACUUGAGUUAUUUUGUCCAAAAGAUGGUCUUGUUUGAAAAUUUGGUCUAAAGUUUGAUUGACCAUGAUUUGGGAUAAAUCUCUGGAGAUUUGUGUUUGCAACCAAAGCACACAGUUGUUGAUAAUCUGCUUCAUCAUUUGAAUCAGACUGGAAGGAUUGGUUUUGAAAAGAUGUAGUCUGAUUAAAAUGAUUAAAGUUUUGAUCAUUGUAAGGUGUUUGGUUUUGAGAAGUUGUGGACACAAGAGCAAGUGGUCCUCCAAAAGCUGCAAUGGUUGGUGGGUCAAUCGAGGAUUCAUACGAUUGAAGUUCUCCAUACAAAUUGUACAAAGAUUCGGUAUGAAUAGCUGGAUUUCCCUGAAUAAUGAGUUUAACCAUUUUCCAGCUUUCGAAAAGAUUGUUUAAAAACUUGAGAUUUAUCUCGUGUUGUGUCUUUUUGAUACCCAAAUUGUUCAUUUUAACCAUAAUCAAAUUGAACCUAUCAUGAGCAUCAUGGAUAGUUUCUGAUGAAAGCAUUUUGAAAUUAUCGAAUUCAUUCAAAACAGAUGUUCUUUUGUUUCCGAUAAUUCUUUUAUUUCCACAAAAACGAUUUUUCAAAUUUUCCCAAAUUUGAUUUGCGGUUAACAUCAUAAUGUCAUCCAUUUGACUUAGAAUACUGUGAGGUAUUCCAGACACAAGUUCCUUUUUGGCUUGGAGUUCCAACUUUCUUAUGAUAUCGGUUUGAGUGGCUUGAUUCGUAGCAAGAGUAGCCAUAUUUUCUGGAGUAACAUAUGUUCCUUCUACACACUUCCAGAUAUCUUCAUUUAUAGCGUUAAGAUGAAGAUUCAUACGGCCAACCCACGAAUUAUACUCAUCAGGAAUAAGUAUGGGUGCCCAUGAACCAGAUCCUAAGCUAUUUGCAAUGGACAUAGAGUUCAUGUUGGAGUAAUUUGCCAAAGACAUUUUUUUUUGAAUUUUUUUUUUUUUAAAGGAUUUCGAACAAGUGAUAUUAAANGAUAUUAAAAUGAAAUUUUUAAAGACAAGCUUAUGGAAGGUUUAUAAACGCUAUAACCAAAAGUUUUUCGACAAAAAUUUCAAGGUAAAUCACACAAGCUCUGAUACCAAUUGUUGGAUAUUAUUCCUUUUAUAUCAGCUCAGAUACCGAUUGUUGGAAAUAUAAAUAUCUAAUUACCACAACAAAAGGCUCGGCUACCAGUUACUGUGUGACAGAUAUAUGAGUUAAAGGUAUAAGAUAUAGAUAUAUAUAAAGAAUAAUAAUUGCGGAAUAAGUAUAAAUAUGAAAGCUAUAAAUGACUGAAAGCUAUAAUAAUAUAAAUGACUGUAUUUAAAUGACGUAAAGCUAUAAAUAAUAUAAAUGACUGUAUUUAAAUAACAUAAAGCUAUAAAUAAUAUAAAUGACUAUAUUUAAAUGACAUAAAGCUAUAAUAAAGUAUAUAAGUAUAUAAAUAUAUAUCAAGUAGGUUCGUCAAUAAAUUGACUGAACUGGACUCAUGGAACGACUGGUCGAUAUUUGUUCUUUGAAUGGACUGGUCGAUAUUGGGACUCUUGGAGCGACUGGUCGAUAUUUGUUCAAUGAUCAAUCCGGUAUUUGAUAAGUAGUAAAAAGUUCAUUUUCAUGUAAAUGGGUUGUUUACAAAACAGUGCAAAGUACACGAGUGAUGUAUUUGUAUACGAGUAUAGGGUGUUUGAGGAGAUUUGAUGAGGUUGGAGUGGGUAUUUGGAGGGUGUUAGGAGGUGGAAUAAGGUUGUAAUUUUGGUGGUGUAAGGCAACAAAGAUGGUGAAGUUGAAGGAGCUUUGGGUGGUGAUGGAUGUAGAUUUUCGGAGUAAAUCUCUCUGGAUAGCCAAUUCUCUCUCGCGUCUCUUUGGGGUUUCCCGUGGUCAAAAUCGUCCACGAAAAUUUCUAUAUGUAGGUAAGGUUCUGAAGAAUUGAUGGUGAAAAUCUCCCUAGUAGUAUUUUGGCUGUGUUGUGCUCGGUUUUUUGUUUUCUAACAUGAAGAUUCUGAACUUGAAAACAGAAAUCUCUCUGGAUAGCCAAUUCUCUCUCGCGUCUCUUUGGGGUUUCCCGUGGUCAAAAUCGUCCACGAAAAUUUCUAGAUGUAGGUAAUGUCCUGAAGAAUUGAUGGUGAAAAUCUCCCUAGUCUUUUUGUGCUUGUAACGAGCCCAGUUUUCUUCGUU